rnacentral:misc_RNA from 1 species
AAGUCGUAACAAGGUAACCGUAGGUGAACCUGCGGUUGGAUCAUUAACAAGAUUAUGAUCUGGAUCAAUGUGGGUUUCUGGAGUGAUUGGAUUUGGUUCCUCCUCCAUGCUCAUGUUGGUCCAAAACCCCAACAUCUUUGUGAACUGUUUUACCUUUUGUCUGGCGAUGGUUUGGAGCUCUGGUUCCUUUCCACUGUCCGGACAAUACCAACCUAAUUUACUUUUUGUCUAUAACAAUGGAUGCAUUCAACCAUCCAUACACAAUUUCUCUGAAAAGAAACAACUUUUGGCAACGGAUCUCUUGGCUCUCGCAUCGAUGAAGC